GUCAAUGGCGCCUAUUUUUUUAUUAUUAACAAAUAUGACAUUUCAAAAUGCAAUUGCAGUUAUAAAUUUUCCGGUCAGGUGUUGGCCACACAUAAUGGCCCGUAAAAUCCAUGAUAGGAAUGGGAGAGUUUGGCACUGUUUAUAAGGGAUUACUAUUUGAUCAACAAUUACACAAGACACACAAUUAUAAGAUCUAAUACUACGCCAAAGCCCUACUAUGCUAUCGAAAACACUUAUAUAGGUUUGGGUGCGCUUUGAACCUACCGGUGGACCGAUUGUUGGUAUACUAUAUAAUAAAUACCGUUUGCUU